UUCCGUCCGUGGUCGCAGGUGCGCGCGUGGUCAGUGCGAUGGUAACACAACGAUGCGAAUACAUUACUGUUAUAGUGUUAUAUGUUACUUACUUAUGCGGUUAUUUGGUCGCAAGAAGUUAACGGCGCUGCUGUUGGUGUUGUGUGGUGUGGCGGCUGUGACGGCGGUGUGGGUGCUCGACCAGGUGUGCGCGGCGCUGGCUCCUCCCCCACCGCUCGUGCAAGACCUCAGCCACUUCAGGAGGAACCGCAGUCUCGCUCAUUACCUUGAUAAUGUGCAACUGCUCAUAGAGCCAUCGUCGACGCACUGCAGUGGUGUAGAAGAAGUUCCUCUAAUAGCAGUAGUGCCCACUUCACCUUCACGCUACGACCAUAGGGCGGUGGUCAGAGAAACAUGGGGAAAGCACCAGCCGACAUACUUCCUGCUAGGAAUAGACGGAUACCACGUCGAUGAGAAUUUGGUGACUACAUAUCUAGAAGCUAAACAAUACGGCGACUUGAUAGUGUAUGACUUCCGUGACCACUACCAGAAUCUGACGCUGAAGACGGCGCUGCUGCUGCAGUGGACCCUGGAGAGAUGUCCGCAGGCCAAGCUCCUCUACAAGAUAGAUGAUGACGUGUUUCUCAAUCCCUGGAGGUUGAAGGAGGUCCUCAAAGACCAUGAGGACGCGAAGUUGUUAGGGUACAAAGUAUCGAACGUCGGGCUACAUCGUGACGAAUACAACAAAUGGUAUAUACCGCGAUGGUUGUACCCGUGGGACAUCGUCCCGGAAUACCUAAACGGACCGGGAUAUAUUUUUAACACUAAAUACAUUAAGAAAAUACUGAAGACUGCAAGAAAUAUACCCAUGAUUAAUCUAGAAGAUAUUUAUUUUACAUAUCUAGUGUCUAAGGAAGCUCUCGGAUUAGAAUUAAGCCAUGACAAAAGGCUGUAUGUUUAUAAACCCCUUUUGUUCUUCGCCUGCAAUUACUGGUCUAUUGCGACAGCACACAGCAUGACCCCCCAGGAAAUGGGAAUCAUGUGGAAAAGGAUAGAGAAACUAUCAAGAAACAGUAACGCUUGUAGCUUUUACAAUUAUAUUGGUUUAUGAUGAACUUUUUUGUUACAUUUUGUAACUAUGUGUGCGUGUAAGGAAAUGUGGGUGUAUUCUACCUCUGUUACCUCUGAAAAGGGGAAAAGGCUGCUGUGCUGUACGAUUUCAAUUAUAUUUAGUAAUGGGUAUUAAAAUCCUUCCUUGAUUUGGGGCUAGUUUCGAAAAGUAGCGUUCCUACAUCAGCUAGUAUACAUUGGGCAAAAUUGUUUUACUACUGACCGACUAACACAAUAUUGGUAUUCAUUAUAAAUUUCGAGAUAAUAUAAUGUAAAGAGUAUCAGCCAGCGCGGCUCGGACUAAAAGAAAUAUAAAUGGUUAGAUUUACUAAAAUACAUAGAUGUAAUGAAAACACGGGCCAAAUCAAGUAAUCUGAAAGUAUGGGAUGAGAGAAAUAUUAUGUAAGGUGUAAUAAAGGAUUAUAAACCGCCAAAGUAAAAUAAUAUUAAAAUGUCAACCAGUUUGCACUCAUUCAAAUUGACAUAAUUAAAUCCCUAUACAAAUGGAAAUGGCAAAUAGACCAAAAUACCUGCCCUGGGCAGAUAUUUAUCAGCAGGAAAUAUUUACAAAAAGAGGUUGUUAACAAAGAAAUCCCACCAAUUAGAAAUAUUAAGAUAGGUUUACGAUAUUAUCCCAGCACGCUAUACCAUGGUACGUUUCAGUGGCGAUGGGAAAUUUUACGAAAAGGAACCCGAAGCAACAUAUAGGUACUAAUAUGCAUAAGUACAGAAAUUUUUCUCAAGAUAAAUAGAUUCUAAAUAAAGAGAAGCCUGCAGGAAUCGGGGUAUAAAAACCUUUCGCCACUAGUAUGUUUAACGUGUCGUUUACUCCAGGAAAAUGAAUGAAUGAAUCCUUCCUAGCCGAAUUUCGGCCACGGCGGCUAAUCUCAACGGAUAUCAGCCACGAAGGAGAUAUUAUAGUGCACAAGUGUGUGCGCAAUACACAGGUGCACUCUCUGUAACUUCACUCUCAUAAUCCGGUGAGACGGCAGUUCGGUCUGGCGCAGGACCAACGACAUUAUGAGCUUUUCCAGGAAAAUACUUUCUUAGCAAGCUGGCAAUCUUUUAAAUAAACACAUUCAAGCGAGAUCAAACUGAGGAUUUAAAACAUAAAAUCGUUGAGUUGUGAGAUUUUUGAAAGGACUAAAUGAAGGAUAUUCUUAUGAGCAAUGUAACAAUUAUGUACUGUGAUAUACAAAAACAAAGAUAUUGGGAAUGUGUCUUUGUGCGACCAAUUGGAGGACUUAGAGUUAUUAGACAGUUUUAGUUUUAGUGGGGAAAGAACUGUGAUAAAGAAAAAACAUCAAAAGAGUCCUCGCUAAUGUUAAUUUAAUUAUUUUAUGGAUCUCCAGAAAUAUACGCGGAACCUGAUCCUGUUAAUAUCAAAUAUUCUGGACAAUUAUCUAUUCUGGAUAAGGAACUAUUAAUACAAUUUGAAGAGCCAAGAACGAGACGAGUCGGUUCGCCAAACCGGAAUCAUCUCCUUCAACAACUAAUCAACAUGAAGAAUUUGAACUAAUAUUUUCAGACUUGACAUUUAAGUACUUACAAUUUUGUAUUUUUAUAUUAUAUUUCGAAUAUAAUAUUUUGUAUUA